AAUGUACGGCGCUGUGCUUGGUGAUCUGAGAGAAGGCUGUGCACUACUGUGAGCGCUGGUGCCUCCUCAAACAACUGAUCGGCGGGGGUCCCAGGUGUCAGACCCCCAAUGAUCAGAUACUGAUGACCUAUCCAGAGGAUAGGCUAUCAGUA